UUUCACCCUAAAUUUUUUGUCUCU
rnacentral:snRNA from 1 species